UACGUAGGGUGCAAGCGUUAAUCGGAAUUACUGGGCGUAAAGAGCUCGUAGGCGGUCUGUUGCGUCUGCUGUGAAACCCGGGGCUUAACCCCUGGCUUGCAGUGGAUACGGACAGACUAGAGGUAGGUAGGGGAGAAUGGAAUUCCCGGUGUAGCGGUGAAAUGCGCAGAUAUCGGGAGGAACACCGGUGGCGAAGGCGGUUCUCUGGGCCUUACCUGACGCUGAGGAGCGAAAGCGUGGGGAGCGAACAGG
rnacentral:rRNA from 1 species